GGGGUAAAAUUAAUAAUGGAGGGGUUAAUAAAAAUAAUUUUAAUAUUAAAAUAAUUUAAUGGGGGUUAAAGUAUUUUAAUAGAAAAAAUUUAAAUUUUUAUAGUUAAAUAGUAUUGUGAAAGAAUUUUGAAAUAUUUUGAAAUUAAAUUUAUAAAAAAGUAAAUUUAAUUUAUUGUAUCUUGGGUAUCAGAGUUUAUUAAAAAUUUUUUAUUGAUUUUUAAAUUUCUCGAAUUUAAAAGAGAUAAUUAAUUAAAAAAGUUAUUGUUGAAUAAAUAUUUUAAAUAAUUGAUUUGAAAUGAAAUGUUAAUCGUUUUUAAAUAUAUCUAGUUUUUUUAGAAUAAAAUUUAAUUUUAAAUUUUAAUAUAAAAUUUUUAUUAAUUAAUUUAAUGAAUUUUUAUUAAGAUUAUAUAUUUUAAGGGAUAAGCUUUAAAUUAAAUUUUUAUAAUAAUUUAAAUUUUAGUAUAAAAUUUUUAUAAUUUAUAUUGUUAAUAAAUUAUAUUUUUUUAUAAAUAAUUUUAUAUAAAUAUUAAAAUUUAAUUUUAAAUUUAAAUUUUUAUAAAAAAAAAAUUUUUAAUAUGUAAAAUUUAGUUAUUAUGAUAAAAUUAGUAUAUAAAUAUAAGUAUAAAUUUAUAAAUUAAAAUUAUUUAAUUUUAAUUAAAAUUGAUUUAAAGGAAUUCGGCAAAUUUUUAUAUUCACUUGUUUAUCAAAAACAUGUCUUUUUGGUUAUAAUUUAAAGUCUAAUCUGCCCACUGAUAUAAUUAAAGGGCUGCAGUAUUUUGACUGUACAAAGGUAGCAUAAUCAUUAGUCUCUUAAUUGGUGACUUGUAUGAAAGAUUGGAUGAAAUAUAAACUGUCUUUAAGUUAUAUUAUUGAAUUUAAUUUUUUAAUUAAAAAGUUAAAAUAAAUUAAAAAGACGAGAAGACCCUAUAGAGUUUUAUAAUUUAUUUAAAUUAAAAUUAUUUUUAAUUUUUUAAUUAAAAUUUAUUAUAAAUUAUUUUAUUGGGGUGAUAAAAAAAUUAAAUAAACUUUUUUUAUAAAAUUCCAUUGAUAAGUGAUUAAAUGAUCCAAUUUUAUUGAUUAUAAGAUUAAAUUACCUUAGGGAUAACAGCGUAAUUUUUUUUUUUAGUUCAAAUAAAAAAAAGAGUUUGCGACCUCGAUGUUGGAUUAAGAUAAAAUUUAUAUGCAAAAGUAUAAAAUUUUUGAUCUGUUCGAUCAUUAAAAUCUUACAUGAUCUGAGUUCAAACCGGUGUGAGCCAGGUUGGUUUCUAUCUUUUAAUAAAAAAAAUAUUUUAGUACGAAAGGAUCAAAUAUUUUAAUUAAAUUAUAAUUAAAUGAAUUUUAUUAAAUUUUAUAUAAAUUUUUAUUUUUUACAAUAAA
rnacentral:rRNA from 1 species